CCGCUGCUGUCCUGACAGGGCGAAGUCCUGUCCAGGCGCACGUGAUGCUCCGCUCGCGGCAGCGGCCCGAAGGCCUGCACGCAUUUGCCAGCCGUCGCUUUGCCGUAAAAGGACUCAUUGUCCAGCGUCUCCAUAACGUGCUCCAACGCGCCUCCUGUGCCCAUGUAAAAGUCACUGUUUUUACUUGGCGGGCUCUUCAGGGCAAACUUCUCGCUCAGAAACUCCAUAAUCCUGGAAAGGCUGUCCGCGAGCUCUCCGGGGCGUGCGGAGGCUGGAGGGCGCGGAGGGAGGAGGGAGCAGUGGGCGGGAGUAGGGAGGGUCAGAGAGGAGGGAAAGGGGAAGCGAGACCUGCGACGCCAGGAGCUGCCCAGCUCCCAGACUCUUAAUACGUCCCGGCUGCAGAAGGGGCACCCGAAGUUGCUUUUAUAUCUUGAAACUCAGCUGGGCUCCUCCGGCAACCUCCCAGUCCUAAUGAAUAUGAAAAUAGGCAAGGACUAACUCCACCCCAGGCCCCCUCCUCCCCCACCCCACCCCCAUCUUCCCUCCUUACCCAGGGUAGGGCGCGUCCCCGGCCUAGUUCAGACAGACAGUUCCAUUUCAGACAAAUGCCAGGAGAGACAAGGACACCCAGAAUCGUAGUCGCCUCGACAGUGGGACUGGCAUUGCCGAGGAGCCUGGUUUCAAGAGUUGGGGCGGUGCCUUCGAAAAGAGUGUUGCAGAAGCUAGUGGCUCCGCGGACUGGGGUUGGACUCACAGUUGCGGACCCAAAACCCUUCCUUGGUCCAGCUGACCGGGAUGCUAGCGAAGGUGGGACCCUCAUUGACGCCCGACCUGGACACAGCUUGCGAGCAAAGAUCCCAGGCACAAUGUUCUGCACAACUGUUGCUUAGCACUGCCCCAAAGGCGGGGCUGCCAGUGAAAAAUGAAGAUUCCAUCCGACAGGACCUGAGAAAAAGUGUCAGGAGCAGCAGCCAUGUUCACCCGGUUCACCACAUUUCCUCCCCAAGAACGGACCCUUUGCUGAGCUACCACCAAUUGACACCGUUUUGCCUUUUAACGGGUUCUAUGAUAUUUUUAAUUGUUUUCUCCGGAGCCUUGAGAUAGCACCAUCAACAAUGAACUGACGAACUUCCAAGAGUGCGGGGGGGGGGGGGGGGGAGGUUAAAGAAAAGCAGGGACUGUCCUGGGCUCUAGCGGAAGGGGAGUCAGGGCUCUAAGAUGGGCAUUCUCCGAAGUGCGAGGCGUUGCUUGCUCCACCUUCUCUGGGGUGGCCUGCAAGUGGGGAGGAAAAACCCAGGAAAUGUGUGCAUCAAGUUUGCUUACAAAGAGAGAAGCUGUAUUCUUCUUGACCCUUUAUCAGAUUGUUCCUGGUGGAAGGUAGACUGAGUUGAGUUGGCCACUCAUUCCUUGUUAGCUUGGUCAGUUUGCAGGAUCUCCCUUUUAAAUCUAUCUUACCUCUAAAUAUUCUGAAAGUCUGCUUUGCCCUAAUAAACGCGAGAAAGAGGAAAGAAACAAACAACCUUUGAUGGGUCUUUCAAAUAUUCACAGCGGCAAGCGCUCCUAUGACUGAUGAAGAACUAUGCAGAGAAUUCUCAGUUAUAAACGUAGCUAUGUCAUGGAGCUUUGUCUGUCUGUUUAUAAAUAUGCGUUUUAGGAGCCCCAAAUUCCCUGAAAAACAUUCGGUGUCUUUUAAAUCAAAGACAUAUGAUACAAGCUCUCCAGCACUUGUAUACCAAUAGACUAGGUCCGAUUUAGGGGGAAACUUCUGUGUAGUCCGGGUCAACUGCAGCUUCGGAAGCCUUUUCCACCCCAUUACCCAAACCCACUUUUGACCGAAGUGGUUUCAGGGGUGGGGUCCAAGGUGUCACCCACCCACUUCAGAUCCCGGAAACCUCCUGAAAAUUCAAAUCUAUUACACGGAACCCCCUUGCGUUUUGUGACAUGUAACCACAUGAGCCCAUAACAGAGGCAACAGUUAAUGGCAAACUCCCAUAACGAAUGCAUAAUCUGCAGGUUUUGGCAAGAAGCUGGGUCUUUGGUUGCCAAGAGUUGCAUUAAAUAAAUUUUGAGGGGUUGAGAUAGAGUUUAUAGCAAUGACACAGCCCUAGCCAGUUGAGCAUUAAUAUUAAAUUUAGGAUACUAAUUAAGGCAAUAAUAAUUGAAUGGUUUCUGGAAAUCACAAAGAAGUGGAAUCGACUGGGAGGUCACUGCACCUGGGCUGCGCUGGCCUGAUGUUUUGGGACAUAACACCAAAUAUAGACUGAAAUACUUGGAUAAGUGCUCUCCUAUAUAUGUAGAACCAGCAUGCCACCCACUCAGUUUUUAAAAUUAGCUGCUACUUCUAGUUUUUGCACCAUCCUAACCCUUCCUGAUUUUUAACCACCUAAAGUAAGCGGUCAACUGGGAAGGGGGAAGAACCAGUUAAGUAUGAAGUAAGGUGGCUUUUUUUUUCCCUCUCAGCCCCAGCCUGUUAUUUCAAGCUUCCCACUUCACUUAACAGUUCUGCACAUACUUUGCACUUCACAAACCUUGUGAUCUAAAGUCAGGAUUCUCUUCCUUCUUUUUACUUAACCCAAUCUGUCAAAACUUUUUCUUAUCUGCUUUUUUUUUUCACGUUUGAAUUUUGAGGGUAGUGUAUCCACAGAGAUUAAGGGACAUUUCUUUUUUUUUAAGCCUGAAAGCAUGCCGGACAUCUCAGGAUUCCAGCCCUCUGGGAUCCCUGGGAGUUUCAUAGCCUUUGCAGGAGUCUCAGCACCUGCAGAGGACUUCAGGGUGGAGGACCAAGAGAUCUGGAGAGGGGUAGGAGGAGUCUUUGGGCUAAGGCCUUGGCUGUUUGCUCCUCUGGUGAUUAAGAUCUGUCUGGUCGGCUAAAGCAUUCCUCUGCUUACAAACACGGAGAGGGAAUUUCGUGGAGAAGAUUGCUCCCUUCGCAUGUCACACCUAAUAUUGUUCCUGCAGCUGGCAGUCUCCCAUACAGACAUGUGAUUUGGGU
rnacentral:lncRNA from 1 species